rnacentral:lncRNA from 1 species
AAGACUUUUUUUUUUUCAGUUUUAUUUAUUUCAUGUAUGUGAGUCCACUGUCACAGUCUUCAGAUACGCCAGAUGAGGGCACCAGAUCCCCUUUACAGAUGGUUGUGAGCCACCACUAUGUGUAAUGAGCCACCAUUGCUGGAAAUUGAACUCAGGACCUCUGCAAGAGCAGUCAGUGCUCAUAGCCACUGAGCCAUCUCUCCAGCCCACAAAAAGGUUUUAAAUGGACUGUAAUAGGGGUUGUCUGCAAAGACUAAAACACUUAGCCAGGUAUAAUGGCAUACUCCUUUGAUCCCAGCAUUGAGCAGACAGAGGCAGGCAGAUUUCUGUGAGUUCAAGGCCAACCUGGUCUACAUAGUAAGUUCUAGAACAGUCAGGCUCCGUAGAAAGAGCCUGUCUCAAAUCAAAACAAAACCACACACACACACACACACACACACACACACACACACACCACACACACCCCAAAUGAACAAAGACUAAAACUAUUAUUUGCUGUAUCUAUAUUGGGAAAACAAAUACAAUUUCUGAAACUCACGGGUCCUUCUUGAGGACAGUCAGCUUGAAUUGACCAGUCUCAGCUCAGUGGCUUUCUAUCAAUAUUAAAGGACAUUCUGUCCCUGCUGCAAACUAACUUUCUCUCUCUCUUUCUUUCUUUCUUUCUUUCUUUCUUUCUUUCUUUCUUUCUUUCUUUCUUUCUUUCUUUCUUUCUUUCUUUCUUCCUUCCUUCCUUCCUUCCUUCCUUCCUUCCUUCCUUCCUUCCCUUCCUUUCUCUCUCUCUCUCUCUCUCUCUCUCUCUCUCUCUCUCUCUCUCUCUCCCCACUGUAUUUUGAGACACUGUAGCACAGCCCUGACAGUAUUUAUAAAACAAACAAACAAACAAAAACCAAUUUACAACUAGGAAUUUACCUACGUGUGUGAGAACCUAAAUUCAGUUCAUAGCACUGCAGGAAAAGUAAUUUUUUAAAAAGUAUAUUGGGGUAUAAUUCACUUAGAAUAAACUACACAUACUAAGUAUAAUGUGAUGAAUAUGUCCAUGCCCUGGAGCCGCCGCUCUAACUGAGCUAAUGAAUACGUCACCCUAAACGAUUCUGUGCGACCCUUCAUAGACACACCUUCCCUUAAACCACAUUACCAGACGUCCUUGAAGUUUCUAGUUUUGUAGAAUUGAUGCUGGAUGUAUUCAUUCUUGGAUCUCUUCCACCACGAAGUUGUCUCCAUCAGUCUAUUAGCAAUUUUGUUGGGGUAAAUUGUGGAGGUCCCGUUCUGAGACCCAGAGUGCUACUCCUCAGGUCUGUGAAUUAAAAGUCUCCUUGAUCAU